GAUGAACGCUGGCGGCGUGCCUAAUACAUGCAAGUCGAGCGAAUGGAUUAAGAGCUUGCUCUUAUGAAGUUAGCGGCGGACGGGUGAGUAACACGUGGGUAACCUGCCCAUAAGACUGGGAUAACUCCGGGAAACCGGGGCUAAUACCGGAUAACAUUUUGAACCGAAUGGUUCGAAAUUGAAAGGCGGCUUCGGCUGUCACUUAUGGAUGGACCCGCAUCGCAUUAGCUAGUUGGUGAGGUAACGGCUCACCAAGGCAACGAUGCGUAGCCGACCUGAGAGGGGGAUCGGCCACACUGGGACUGAGACACGGCCCAGACUCCUACGGGAGGCAGCAGUAGGGAAUCUUCCGCAAUGGACGAAAGUCUGACGGAGCAACGCCGCGUGAGUGAUGAAGGCUUUCGGGUCGUAAAACUCUGUUGUAAGGGAAGAACAAGUGCUAGUUGAAUGAGCUGGCACCUUGACGGUACCUAACCAGAAAGCCACGGCUAACUACGUGCCAGCCGCCGCGGUAA
rnacentral:rRNA from 1 species